rnacentral:lncRNA from 1 species
GGCCCAAAGCAGGUGCAGAAGCAAUGGCUCUUUUCAGAGUAUGGAAACAGUUAAUAGUUUCUUCAGUGGGAUGAAAGGGCUCACUCCUGAGGGCAUCAUAGAGUGGCUGCAUGAGUUUGGAUGCUUCAGGUAUCCAGGACCUGCAGUAUGUGAUGAGUCCCAAGAAAGCAUGAAGAGAGUGAUGAGUUGCAGGUAAUGGGAGUUGCAGGAUAGCUUGCACCCGUUGUGAGGUUAGAUGUUUGGUGCCAUGGGAAAGGCAAUGUCCCAAGAAGACCACAGAGGGCCGGCACCAUUGUAGCUUUGAUUUUGAGGCCUUGCACCCUGCAGCAGCGAGGAAACAUAGGAGAUCUUCUGAGUCACGCUCUGCAAUAAGCAAAUUAGGAGCACAGAGAAGGAGGUCAUCAACAUAUUGAAGUAGAAUAACAUCCAGAUGAGAUUUCUGCCAGGGAUCCAAAACUAGAGACAUGGCAUGAGCAAACUGUGUGGGAGAGUUCUGAGCUCCCUGAGGCAUAACAGUCCAGGUAUAUUGUUGUCCUUCAUGUGUGAAGGCGAAGAGAAAAUGGCAGGAAGGGUCAAGGGGGACACUGAAAAAGGCAUUAGCUAGAUCCACUACAGAAAAAAAUUGUUGAAUUGGGUGGCACCUGGGACAAAAGGGUAUGGGGGUUUGGAACAAUAGCAGUGUCCUUUAUGGUUACUUCUUUAACAGCACGGAGGUCCUGUACCAUGCGGUACUGGUCGGGUUGGCCCUUAACAGUUCGCUUUUUAACAGGGAAAAGUGGGGUGUUGCAUGGAGAUGUGCACUUGGUGAGGGCACCUUUGGCAAGCAGAGACUCAACUUGUUUGGUGAUGGCUUCAGCUUGUGCUGGCUUCAGAGGAUACUGAGGUCUACGAGGAGGAAGUGCUCCAGGCAGGAGCUGGACCAGGACGGGGGGUACAUGUAAGCGUCCAAUAUCAUCCGGGCCGGUGGACCAAAGUUCUUGGGGGAUACGAUCCAGAGCACUGGGGGGGGGUGUGACCCGUGCACUCCCUGUAUUGUCAGUUAGGUUCAACAAGAUGGGGAGUGAGCAGAGUACAGUGGUGUCUGUCUGUGAUAAGGGUGUAGUUAACUGGACCCUGGAGCCGAGAAAGAACAUCAGCACCCAAGAGGUUAAUGGGACAAGUAGAAGAAACAACAAAACGUGAGAGUAUGUGUGAACCAACAUGCAGGAGUGUAGGGAGGGGGCUACUGCGGGGUGUACCAUCCACCCCAACACAGGAGACAUCGGUGUCUGACAAAAAGGAGGGGUCAUGGCAGGGGUUGCUGACACAGGCUUGCCGGUAACCUAUUGCAGUAAAUCUAAAUGGGCCUGGUCGGGUCCUUGGUACCGGUGGGUAGAAGUGGGAGGGUGGCUGGACUGCAUAGGAGCACGGGCAAGGCGGCUUUGUCGAGGUAGGGGCUGAAUAUCUCGGAAACCACCCGUGUCAAACCCAUCAGCGGAGGCUGGAGGGUAUGCACGGGCCUCUAAAGCAGGGGGCCGGCUGGGAUGGGCGUGAUAGGUGAGUAUUAAGGGUGGGAGGAGGUGGAGGAGGAGGAGGUAAAUCAGUGGGAGGCGGGGCAGGAAUCGCGGAAUUAACCAGGGAGGUAACAGCAGAGAAGAGGGCGGAUGUCGAGCUAGACAGGUCAUUGGCCAUGGUUGGGUCAGGGGUCACCGGGGGAGAGGUCGGAGGGAUGGGAACAGGGGGCUGGGUCGUAACAGCGUGGGUAAACCAGUCGGGGGAGGAGGAGACAACGAGGUAGAGGGGGCCGGGACUUCGGGAGGAGGAGGUAACACUGGAGAAGGGGUGGUAACGGGGGGUUGGGUCAGGGCGGUGAGGGCAGAAAUCAGGGACGGCAAAUCGGCCGAGGGAGGAGGAGGCAACGAGGUAGAGGGGGCCGGGACUUCGGGAGGAGGAGGUAACACUGGAGAAGGGGUUGGAGGGGUGGUAACGGGGGGCUGGGUCAGGGCGGUAAGGGCAGAGAUUAGGGACGGCAAAUCAGCCGAGAGGGGAGGAGGCAACGAGGUAGAGGGGACCGGGAUAUCGGGAGGGGGUACCACUGGAGAAGGGGUUGGAGGGGUGGGAACGGGGGGCUGGGUCAGGGCAGUGAGGGCAGAGAUUAGGGACGGCAAAUCAGUCGGGAGGGGAGGGGACAACGAGGUAGAAGAGAGGUCCGGAGGCAUAAGGGAAGCGGGAUCAGCGGGAGGACAAGGGUCUGGAGGAUCUGGGGCGGUGGGGUGAGUAAGGUCGAGAGGGCAGAGAGCGGGGCAGCGGAUGGAGACGGGUGAGUGGGUAACACUGGGGAGGGGUCAGUCGAGGUGGAGAGGGGACGAGAGGCAAGCAUAGGUAAAGGUGGCGGGGGACAGGGAGGCGGAGGAAUGUCAUUUAACGUAAAGGAUGUUACUGUAAACAUACGAUUUGUAACUAGCAAGAUUCUAUUAAGUAAAGAUACAAUGUUUAAAAUAACUUGCAUUAUUUUGCAAUAUCCCUUGUUGCAAGACACAGGCAUUAAUGAAUAAUCAUCAGGAUAAUUAGCUGUAAUGCUCUUAUAUUCGUGCCCUACAGAACUCAUUUGUAGGUCACACCACAGGUGCAAAUGACUCUUUAGCAACCUCUUUCUUUUUUUUUUUUUUAUAUCACGGACACAUUUCUGAUACAGGGAAACAAAUGGCAUGAUUGUUUUAGUAACUAUAACGUUUCAGUUCAUAAUAUGUAGAGUGUAAGGAAAACAACAUGUCUCUAAAUAGGACGAGCAUGAUAGGGGUAGGCCUCAUGAUGGAGGCAGCCAUGACAGGGGCGGGGAAGGAAAUGACAGCAAGGGAGGAAGUGAGGUGACGUCCAUGAUAGGUGUGGGAAAGGAAGACAGGAGGUGUGGGCAUGGUAAGGGCGGAAGUGACGUUACUUUAGAAGCAACCGUGACUGUGGAUAGGUCACGGGACUUUCAGGGUCAACCUCCUUCUGUACUAGGCGCCAUCUUUAGGGUGGUGGCUGACGUACUUUCAACAAUACACCAUAUUAUAACUAAUAAAAUAAGUCAGAGAAGCAACAUUCCGUUCUGCAAAAUGAAAUACUAAACUAUGAACAGACCUGGCAGGUUAAAUAAGACAGUUGAGAACAUUAUGCAUUUAACAGCCCAUAAAGCUGUCCAUAGAAAAAUGUACUUUAACAUGAUAAACUCAC